rnacentral:rRNA from 1 species
UACGUAGGGGGUAAGCGUUAUCCGGAUUUACUGGGUGUAAAGGGAGCGUAGGCGGUUCGGUAAGUCUGAUGUGAAAGCCCGGGGCUCAACCCCGGGACUGCAUUGGAAACUACCGAACUAGAGUGUGGGAGAGGUAAGUGGAAUUCCUAGUGUAGCGGUGAAAUGCGUAGAUAUUAGGAGGAACACCAGUGGCGAAGGCGGCUUACUGGACCAUAUCUGACGAUGAGGCUCGAAAGCGUGGGGAGCAAACAGG